CGUCAGAACCUCGUCUUAUUUACAUUGCAGUUUGCCACGGAAUAUGCCUGCAAGGGCUAUCCUUUCUAAAAUAAAACAUGAAAUGGGGGAAACAAGCACCAUUAAAAUUAUUUAAACGAAUCUGUAGUAAGAAGUUAUGUUUAUGACUACACGCCUGUUCGGUGCUAAGCCUCCAAGCUGACAUUGCGAAAAUGUUAGCAGUGCAGUGUCGAAACAGCAGUGUGGGUACCGGAUUGCAAAUACCUGGAGAAAUACACCACUGUACAUUGCAUACAUUGCACUGAUAUAUGCACCUUACAUUUCGUGCAAGUUGCAAUCUUAUAAUUCUUUGGAAAUAGGAGACCCACGCAGUCAACUUUGUCCAUGACCUUCCCAUACGGUGGAGCGAUAUCAUAGACUUCUAGUCCCAGUCCUUUCUGGGGGGACAGAAACGAUUAAGCGUCAUUGAUUAUUGUCAUGGAGAAGGCGUCAAGCUUUGCAUUAAGUUGCAGUCGUAACGUGACAUUCCCGGGAAAUGGCCUUUUCAAGUUAGUACAGUGAAGACAGUCUGACCUCAGGAUAUAAGGAUGGCUUACAGCACGUUUCGCCAGACAGCACGAGGCAAACUAUGCAAAGGUAGCGGGGGACGGGCUGGAAGGAUGUUUUUAUUUCAUCCGUAGCUGUAAAUUGUUGCUUGAAUUUUGUACGCAAGUUUCAAGUCAGCCACCACCCACAAGGCACGGACAAAGCAUCGUUCUACAUUUUGUGCGAUGUUGGUAAUGUAAACAGAGUGAAAAAAAACAAAGUACCAUCAAAGGAUCAACCAUUCUGGUUUUCAGUCAGGCUGUGUAUUGCAGAAUGCAAAGUUUCUUGAUCUUGCAAGUUGCAUCUUGGUGUCUGAGAGGAUGAAAGGCGACCACAAAAUGGAAGAGCAGAGCCAGCUAUCAGUCCAUCCGGCCUGCUCCAUCACUCAGUAAGGUCAUGGCUGUUUGAGUGCUGGGUACCUCUUUGUUUAUGAUUUAUGUAAAAAUACAGAAGAAAAUGUGGGGGGUUAGUCAGUAAGUUGGGGUGUUUGGUUGGCAGGUUGAUGGAGAACAUGAAGGUCUUAGCUUGCAGGAUAACAUAGAUGGAUUGGUCAUUUGAACAGACCAGCGGCAGAUGCAAUUUAACCCAGAGAAGUUUGAGGUGAUGCAUUUUAGAAGAAGUAACAAGAGAAGGGAACAUUGAAUGAAUGGCAGCUCACCUUGGAAGAUCAGAAGAACCAAGGGAACUUGUCCACAUGCCCCUGAAGGCAGCAGGACUGAUUAAUAAUGUAGUUAAGAAAACUUAUGGGACACUAUAUCAGUUGUGACAUCGAGUAUAAAAACAAGGAGGUUAUGUUGGAGCUUUGAGUAAAAAAUGAGGUCUGCAGAUUCUGGAGAUCAC